rnacentral:tRNA from 1 species
GGAGGAGUCGCAUAGUUGGUCUAGUGCGCCGGUUUCGAAAACCGGUAUACCGCAAGGUAUCGAGGGUUCGAAUCCCUCCUCCUCCG